rnacentral:rRNA from 1 species
GACGGAGGAUGCAAGCGUUAUCCGGAAUGAUUGGGCGUAAAGCGUCCGCAGGUGGCAGUUCAAGUCUGCUGUCAAAGACCGGGGCUCAACCUCGGAAAGGCAGUGGAAACUGAACAGCUAGAGUAUGGUAGGGGCAGAGGGAAUUCCUGGUGUAGCGGUGAAAUGCGUAGAUAUUAGGAAGAACACCAGUGGCGAAGGCGCUCUACUGGGCCAUUACUGACGCUGAUGGACGAAAGCUAGGGGAGCGAAAGGG